AGUAAAAUCAGCUAAUGAAAGCUCUCAGGCCCAUACCCCGAAUAUAAUGGUUAAAGUCCAUUUUUUACUA
rnacentral:tRNA from 1 species